rnacentral:tRNA from 1 species
GAGGGUAUAGCUUAAGUGGUAGAGUGCAUGCUUAGCAUGCACAAAGUACUGGGUUCAAUCCCCAGUACCUCUU